UACGGGGGGAGCAAGGCGUUGUUCGGAUUUACUGGGCGUAAAGGGCGCGUAGGCGGUCAGCACAAGUCAGUUGUGAAAUCUCCGGGCUUAACUCGGGAAAGGUCAACUGAUACUGUGCGACUAGAGUGCAGAAGGGGCAACUGGAAUUCUCGGUGUAGCGGUGAAAUGCGUAGAUAUCGUAAGGAAGACCAGUGGCGAAGGCGGGUCUCUGGACAGUUCCUGACACUGAGACACGAAGGCCAGGGGAGCAAACGGG
rnacentral:rRNA from 1 species